UCGUCUGCGAACACAGAGAGCUCACCGCCGGAUCGUCCGUUCCGGCGUAAAAUUCCUAGAUCUAAAAUUCAUCGGCAACGCUGCAGCUGGUUCUCGCUUUCUUCAAUGGGUUCGCUUGGAUCUGGAGCUUCUCCCUCUGUUGAACCUGGUGUUCUCCCUAAAAGAAUUUUUGCUGUUGAUUGCUACCCUUCUCAUGCAGUUCGUAUCAAUUCUUAUUCAAAACCUAAGUACCUGCUUGAGAUUUUGAAUGUUCUGCAAGGUAUGCCAGAGUUGGAGACUCUGCUGUCCUCUCCUCUUGGUUCCCUCUUCUCUCUGCCUGUUCGUCAAUGUU